UACGUAGGGUGCAAGCGUUAAUCGGAAUUACUGGGCGUAAAGCGUGCGCAGGCGGUUAUGUAAGACAGAUGUGAAAUGCCCGGGCUUAACCUGGGAACUGCAUUUGUGACUGCAUGGCUAGAGUUUGGCAGAGGGGGGGUAGAAUUCCACGUGUAGCAGUGAAAUGCGUAGAUAUGUGGAGGAACACCGAUGGCGAAGGCAGCCCCCUGGGUCAAGACUGACGCU
rnacentral:rRNA from 1 species